rnacentral:tRNA from 1 species
GCCGAGGUGGUGAAAUUGGUAGACACGCUAGAUUCAGGUUCUAGUAGGAGCAAUCCUGUGGAGGUUCGAGUCCUCUCUUCGGCA